rnacentral:rRNA from 1 species
AUUGAACGCUGGCGGCAUGCUUUACACAUGCAAGUCGAACGGCAGCGCGGGCUUCGGCCUGGCGGCGAGUGGCGAACGGGUGAGUAAUGCAUCGGAACGUGCCCAGUAGUGGGGGAUAGCCCGGCGAAAGCCGGAUUAAUACCGCAUACGACCUGAGGGUGAAAGCGGGGGACCGAAAGGCCUCGCGCUAUUGGAGCGGCCGAUGUCGGAUUAGCUAGUUGGUGGGGUAAAGGCUUACCAAGGCGACGAUCCGUAGCUGGUCUGAGAGGAUGACCAGCCACACUGGGACUGAGACACGGCCCAGACUCCUACGGGAGGCAGCAGUGGGGAAUUUUGGACAAUGGGGGCAACCCUGAUCCAGCCAUGCCGCGUGCGGGAAGAAGGCCUUCGGGUUGUAAACCGCUUUUGUUCGGGAAGAAAUCCUCUGGGCUAAUACCCCGGGGGGAUGACGGUACCGGAAGAAUAAGCACCGGCUAACUACGUG